AAAGAAAAAAUAGGACACAUUUUAGAAAAAUGCAUUUAAAUGUCAUGAACUUAAGAUUUACAGGAGUUAAUUAUGUGGACACAAUUCUGAACAUCUACACUCAUGAAUGAAUCAAAGUCCUAUAACAAAUGUCACAAAUUUUAUCAGCCUUGUAUUGCACACUAACAGUGACUUGUAAAGACCAACUGUAUAGGAGAAGUAGGUUCACUACAGCUUAGAGAUCAGAGUACUUAUAUUCUAACUCAUUUUUUAUGGAAAUUUCCCUACAACACACUAUGUAUUUCAUUAACAUGCUGUAUCAGAUAUAACCUGUCUCUCAGAGAAGCUAACUUAGGUCCCUUAGCAUGCCCUGACCGUCUCUUACAUCAGCAUCCUUCACUGCUUGACCAUUGUGACAGCCAGCUCCUCUCUGUCUGAACAUUCCGAGAUUGUUCUCACUCAAUGCCUUCUCCUCUGCAGAGUGCUCCUCACUGGGACCUUUGCACACUGUCCUUCUCAUCACUUGGGUUUUGGCACAAAUGGCAGCUUCCUCAAAGAGACCAUCCUGACUCUCUACAACAGCUUUAUCCCACUACACAGUGGUGGCUGUUUGGUUGUGGGUUUUUUUUUUUGUUUGUUUGUUUUGCUUUGCUUGUUUGUUUAAGAACAUUUGUUUAUCAUCUAAAAUUAUCUUUUAUUUAUUUAGGUCUCUUUCUACUACAAUAAUAUUGAAGUUAGAUCCAUCUCAAUAUUAUUCUAAACAAUGGUACUUGAUAUGGAGGAAAUACUCAAUAAAACACUGCAAGCUAGAUUUAAUAAUCCACUUUUCCACCAACGAGAAGUAGGACACCUGAUGGCAUGGACUGGGGAAGUACCGAAUGAGCUCGAAACCCCCGCUGUUUAAUGCACUUGUUGGCUGCAGAACUCUGCCAAGUGCUAAGCCUUCCCUGUUUCAGUAGGCCCAAAGCACAAGAGCAAGGACCUAAAGAAGGCAGCAGGGCUUACACAUCUGGAGAGAGACCAACGCCUGCACGGUGUAGCAAGGAGAGAAGGCGGGUGCAGAAGGAAGAACACAGCAUACCUGUGGCUCCUCCCGUCUGUGGUCACAGGCUUUCACACGGAGCCCUAAAUGCGGUCCUGGAGAGAAGGGGUGGACUCGACUCUACCUACUCCUCCAGUUCACCUCAUGGUGACUGCUUCCUCUAUCCACGGCUGCAGCUUUUCUUCGACAACA